rnacentral:lncRNA from 1 species
UUUUUUUUUGGUCUCUCUUUCAGAAGCUCAUAAAUUAGAGUGCCAAAGAUGCAAUAUUGCUUUUGAUGUAUCUGAAGUAGCAUAAAGUGAAGUCUUGGAAACUACAUCACAUUUUCAAGAAAGAAAGAAAAGUUAAAGAGGUGGGGGAAGACGAUAGCUUAAAAAUAAUUUAAACUGUGACAACUGUAUCAAAGGACUUCGCUACUGACAUUCAACAUGACAACCUCAAACUUAACACUGCUUUAUUAAUGUUUGCAGUGCACUCACAAUUUUUCAACUAUACUCUCCUUUAGAAAAAAAAAGCUGCCAUGCAUGUUAUCUGUUUUCAAAUUUGUCAGACAUACUCCAAGAAUACUGAUUAGAGAAUUAGAUUAAAAUUGAAAAAUAUUGUGUUGUAUUCAUAUUGAAAGGGAAAUUUUAUUCCUAUAAAAGUAUUUAAAGUGUAUCAUACAUUUGUUCCUGGAAUUGACAUUUUGUGUUUUUAAUUUUUUGUUCCUAUCAAACAAAAUUUUUUUUAUAUUGGAUCAAGUCAUUUUAUCUCUAUAGCCUAUUUUCACUGUCCUUGCUGGACCUAUGAGCAUGGGCAAACACUUUU